rnacentral:rRNA from 1 species
AUACGGAGGGGGUUAGCGUUGUUCGGAAUUACUGGGCGUAAAGCGCACGUAGGCGGAAUGUUAAGUUAGAGGUGAAAUCCCAGGGCUCAACCCUGGAACUGCCUUUAAUACUGGCAAUCUAGAGACCGAGAGAGGUGAGUGGAAUUCCGAGUGUAGAGGUGAAAUUCGUAGAUAUUCGGAGGAACACCAGUGGCGAAGGCGGCUCACUGGCUCGGUACUGACGCUGAGGUGCGAAAGCGUGGGGAGCAAACAGGAUUAGAAACCCUUGUAGUCC